rnacentral:rRNA from 1 species
UCUACGGGAGGCAGCAGUGGGGGAUAUUGGACAAUGGGGGGAACCCUGAUCCAGCGACGCCGCGUGAGUGAAGAAGGCUUUCGGUAUGUAAAGCUCUGUCAGCAGGGAAGAAAGAAAUGACGGUACCUGACCACGAAGCCCCGGCUAACUACGUGCCCGCAGCAGCGGUAAUACGUAGGGGGCAUGCGUUAUCGGGAUUUACUGGGUGUAAAGGGAGCGUAGACGGUUAAGUAAGUCUGGAGUGAAAGGCCGGGGCCAAACCCCGGGACUGGUCUGGAGACUAUGGAACUUGAGUGCAGGAGAGGUAAGCGGAAUUGCUGGUGUAGCGGUGAAAUGCGUAGAUAUUAGGAGGAACACCAGUGGCGAAGGCGGCUUACUGGACUGUAACUGACGUUGAGGCUCGAAAGCGUGGGGAUCAAACAGGAUUAGAUACCCUUGUAGUC